UAGGGAAUCUUCGGCAAUGGACGAAAGUCUGACCGAGCAACGCCGCGUGAGUGAAGAAGGUUUUCGGAUCGUAAAACUCUGUUGUUAGAGAAGAACAAGGACGUUAGUAACUGAACGUCCCUUGACGGUAUCUAACCAGAAAGCCACGGCUAACUACGUGCCAGCAGCCGCGGUAAUACGUAGGUGGCAAGCGUUGUCCGGAUUUAUUGGGCGUAAAGCGAGCGCAGGCGGUUUCUUAAGUCUGAUGUGAAAGCCCCCGGCUCAACCGGGGAGGGUCAUUGGAAACUGGGAGACUUGAGUGCAGAAGAGGAGAGUGGAAUUCCAUGUGUAGCGGUGAAAUGCGUAGAUAUAUGGAGGAACACCAGUGGCGAAGGCGGCUCUCUGGUCUGUAACUGACGCUGAGGCUCGAAAGCGUGGGGAGCAAACAGG
rnacentral:rRNA from 1 species